GCUUUACUUUGUGGAUCUUAUACUUACUAUUUGUUUUUAUUCUAUUCUUAUAUGGAGGCCCAACCCAAAAUAUUGUAAGUUAACCCUAUUGUUGCUCUUGAUUAAUGAAAACUCAAGCAGCCGCCACCUUCAUUGCUAAAGCUUCAUCUCCCAAUCUAUUCGAUCAAUACACUUCAUAUGGCUCAAGCUUCAUCUCUCUAUACAACCAAAUUAAUCACUAUUAUUGCAUCUCUUAUUUUUCUUCUAUAUUUUAUUUGUGGUUCUUUUAUUUACUCUAAAUCUGUGAUUCUUUUUCUUCUUCAACUAAAUCAAACUGGUCCAUUUCUCUAAUCUUCUUAUUUAAAGCAUUUGUUCUUCCUAAUAGUUUGAAGGUUGGUUUGUAAUGUACUUUCUUCUUCUUCUUCAACCGUGGAAGCAGAGAUUAAGUGGCAAACUGGAAUUUUUUUUUUGCAGAACCGCUGAACCGCACUGGCCGGUUCACCGGUUUGUUCCGGUUCGACGCCGGUCCGAACGUUUUUUUACCGGUUCGUUUACUUUCCGUUUUUCUGGCUAAACCGAACCGUAUGUAAGCCCGGUUCACGGUCCGAGCGGUCCGACCGGCCGGUCCGGUCCGGUUCUGACAACCUUG
rnacentral:lncRNA from 1 species